AUUGAACGCUGGCGGCAGGCCUAACACAUGCAAGUCGAGCGAGCCGCGCACGUGUGAGUAAUGUCUGGGAAACUGCCUGAUGGAGGGGGAUAACUACGGGAAACGGUAGCUAAUACCGCAUAACAUCAGAUGUGCCCAGAUGGGAUUAGCUUGUGGGUGGGGUAAGGGCUCACCAAGGCGACGAUCCCUAGCUGGUCUGAGGGGAUGACCAGCCACACUGGAACUGAGACACGGUCCAGACUCCUACGGUAGGCAGCAGUGGGGAAUAUUGCACAAUGGGCGCAAGCCUGAUGCAGCCAUGCCGCGUGUGGGAAGAAGGCCUUCGGGUUGUAAAGUACUUUCAGCGAGGAGGCGUUACUCGCAGAAGAAGCACCGGCUAACUCCGUGCCAGCAGCCGCGGUAAUAC
rnacentral:rRNA from 1 species